CAGGGAGAGAGAACGCUGGGUCAGAUCAUUCACAGCAGACUGAAGCCCAGGGAGAGAGAAUGGUGGGCCAGAUCAUUCACAGCAGACUGAAUCCCAGGGAGAGCGAACGGGGGGUCAGAUCAUUCACAGGAGUCUGAAGCCCAGAGAGAGAGAACGGUGGGUCAGAUCAUUCACAGCAGACUGAAGACCAGAGAGAGAGAACGAGGACCUGAGCCCUAGGACCAUGCCUCAGGACUACCUGGCAUGAUGACUCCUUGCUGUCCCCAGUCCACCUGGCCGUGCUGCUGCUCCAGUUUCAACUGUUCUGCCUGCGGCUAUGGAACCCUGACCUGUUCACCGGACGUGCUACCUGUCCCAGACCUGCUAUUUUCAACUCUCUAGAGACAGCAGGAGCGGUAGAGAUACUCUCAAUGAUUGGCUAUGAAAAGCCAACUGAAAUUUACUCCUGAGGUGCUGACUUGUUGCACACUCUACAACUACUGUGAUUAUUAUUAUUUGACCAUGCUGGUCAUUUAUGAACAUUUGAACAUCUUGGCCAUGUUCUGUUAUAAUCUCCACCCGGCACAGCCAGAAGAGGACUGGCCACCCCUCAUAGCCUGGUUCCUCUCUAGGUUUCUCCCUAAGUUCCUGCCUUUCUAGGGAGUUUUUCCUAGCCACCGUGCUUCUACACCUGCAUUGCUUGCUGUUUGGGGCUUUAGGCUGGGUUUCUGUACAGCACUUUGAGAUAUCAGCUGAUGUAAGAAGGGCUAUAUAAAUACAUUUGAUUUGAUUUGACUUGGAGUAUGGCAAUCCAGAGAUGGAGCUGGAAUGGGAAUAUGGCUCUGACCUUCGUUUUUUACCAGAAAACAUAGGCCGGAUACGGGUCUGAAUUUUAUAGCAGCAGCUUUGAAUAGAAAAGUGCAAUUGUGUUUUAAUUAAGAACAAGCUUUUCUUUAUGUUUUAGUCAUUCUAUGUUCCAGACAUUGUCUGGAUAGAAUUGUGUUUCUGUUUCAAUAGUAUUUAUUAUUGACACUCAGAAUCCUCUUGAGGAUUCUAUCUUACCGACAGGUAGUUACGGCUAAAUAUCUGAUUUACAAAAGUUGAAUUAUGCUGUCAAUACAUUACUCACAAUUGAUCGAUCAAAAGAAGACAGAAGACAAUAGAGAGGGAGAGAGAGAGAGAGAGAAAGAGAGGGAGAGAAGAGAGAGAGAGAGAGAAAGAGAG
ensembl:lncRNA